rnacentral:rRNA from 1 species
AAUGAACGCUGGCGGCAUGCCUAACACAUGCAAGUCGAACGAAGCCUUUGGGCUUAGUGGCGCACGGGUGCGUAACGCGUGGGAAUCUGCCCUUGGGUUCGGAAUAACAGUGGGAAACUACUGCUAAUACCGAAUGAUGUCGUAAGACCAAAGAUUUAUCGCCCAGGGAUGAGCCCGCGUAGGAUUAGCUAGUUGGUGUGGUAAAGGCGCACCAAGGCGACGAUCCUUAGCNGGUCUGAGAGGAUGAUCAGCCACACUGGGACUGAGACACGGCCCAGACUCCUACGGGAGGCAGCAGUGGGGAAUAUUGGACAAUGGGCGAAAGCCUGAUCCAGCAAUGCCGCGUGAGUGAUGAAGGCCUUAGGGUUGUAAGCUCUUUUACCCGGGAUGAUAAUGACAGUACCGGAGAAUAAGCUCCGGCUAACUCCGUGCCAGCCGCCGCUGUAA